rnacentral:rRNA from 1 species
UACGUAGGGGGCAAGCGUUAUCCGGAAUUACUGGGUGUAAAGGGAGCGUAGACGGUAAUGUAAGUCUGGAGUGAAAGGCGGGGGCCCAACCCCCGGACUGCUCUGGAAACUAUGUUACUAGAGUGCAGGAGAGGUAAGCGGAAUUCCCAGUGUAGCGGUGAAAUGCGUAGAUAUCAGGAGGAACACCAGUGGCGAAGGCGGCUUACUGGACUGUAACUGACGUUGAGGCUCGAAAGCGUGGGGAGCAAACAGG